rnacentral:pre_miRNA from 1 species
UCUUCAUUCCGCAUGCUCUCUCAUCGGUAAGGGUGGCGAGAGAGUGUGCGAAAUAAAGAGA